rnacentral:rRNA from 1 species
UACAGAGGUGGCAAGCGUUGUUCGGAAUUACUGGGCGUAAAGGGCGCGUAGGCGGCCCGUCAAGUCCCGUGUGAAAGCCCCCGGCUCAACCGGGGAACGGCGCGGGAAACUAGCAGGCUUGAGCUCGGGAGAGGGAAGCGGAAUUCCGGGUGUAGCGGUGAAAUGCGCAGAUAUCAGGAGGAACACCGGUGGCGAAGGCGGGUCUCUGGGCAACAACUGACGCUGAGGAGCGAAAGCGUGGGGAGCGAACAGG